AUUUGGUUAAGUUAGAAAGGGCGCACGGUGGAUGCCUUGGCACUAGGAGCCGAUGAAGGACGGGACUAACACCGAUAUGCUUCGGGGAGCUGUAAGUAAGCUUUGAUCCGGAGAUUUCCGAAUGGGGAAACCCGCUGCACGUAAUGGUGCAGUAUCCAUACUUGAAUACAUAGAGUAUGGAAGGCAGACCCGGGGAACUGAAACAUCUAAGUACCCGGAGGAAGAG
rnacentral:rRNA from 1 species